AGUCGAACGCGAAAGUCCCCUUCGGGGGAUAAGUAGAGUGGCGCACGGGUGAGUAACACGUAGGUAAUCUACCUUCGGGUGGGGAAUAACCCAGGGAAACUUGGGCUAACACCGCAUAAUGCAGCGGCACCACAUGGUGACAGUUGUUAAAGCGGGGGAUUUUAGGACCUCGCGCCUGAAGAGGAGCCUGCGGCAGAUUAGCUAGUUGGUAAGGUAACGGCUUACCAAGGCGACNAUCUGUAACCGGCCUGAGAGGGCGGUCGGUCACACUGACACUGACAUACGGGUCAGACUCCUACGGGAGGCAGCAGUCGGGAAUUUUGGGCAAUGGGCGAAAGCCUGACCCAGCAACGCCGCGUGAAGGAUGAAAUCCCUCGGGAUGUAAACUUCGCAAGAUUGGGAAGAAUUAGUAGGGGUUAAUACCCCCUAUGAUGACGGUACCUUUUGUAAGCUCCGGCUAACUCCGUGCCAGCAGCCGCGGUAAUACGGGGGGAGCAAGCGUUGUUCGGAUUUACUGGGCGUAAAGGGCGCGUAGGCGGCCAGCACAAGUCAGUUGUGAAAUCUCCGGGCUUAACUCGGAAAGGUCAACUGAUACUGUGCGACUAGAGUGCAGAAGGGGCAACUGGAAUUCUCGGUGUAGCGGUGAAAUGCGUAGAUUUCGAGAGGAACACCUGCGGCGAAGGCGGGUUGCUGGGCUGACACUGACGCUGAGGCGCGAAAGCCAGGGGAGCGAACGGGAUUAGAUACCCCGGUAGUCCUGGCCUUAAACGAUGGAUGCUUGGUGUCUGGAGUUAUAUAGUCUCCGG
rnacentral:rRNA from 1 species